CCCGACAUCUGGGCUUCUUUUGACUCUCCUGCGAAGUUACACACAGAAGCAGUGUGUUUCAGGUCUGUUUCAGGUGUGUUUCAGGUGUGUUUCAGGUGUGUUUCAGGUGUGUUUCAGGUGUGUUUCAGAUGUGUUUCAGGUGUGUUUCAGGUGUGUUUCAGGUGUGUUUCAGGUGUGUUUCAGGUCUGUUUCAGCUGAUCUUCAGAUUCCUCCACAGGUUUGUCUCACAUGUGUCAAUAAACCAAUUAGAAGAUUCCAGAGACAUGACAUCAUCAUCUGUGUUUUUUCAACACACACAUGCACACGCAUACACACACAUAAACACACACACACACACCCCCACACCCCCACACACCCACACCCACACACACACACCCACACCCACAC
ensembl:lncRNA